rnacentral:rRNA from 1 species
UACGUAGGGUGCAAGCGUUAAUCGGAAUUACUGGGCGUAAAGCGUGCGUAGGUGGUUUUUUAAGUCCGUUGUGAAAGCCCUGGGCUCAACCUGGGAAUGGCAGUGGAUACUGGAAAGCUAGAGUGCGGUAGAGGGUAGUGGAAUUCCCGGUGUAGCAGUGAAAUGCGUAGAGAUCGGGAGGAACACCAGUGGCGAAGGCGGCUACCUGGACCAGCACUGACACUGAGGAGCGAAAGCGUGGGGAGCGAACAGG